UUGAGCUGCACAGUGUAUUGAGGUCAGCAUGUAAAGAGUUAAGAGUUCGUGUCUGGGUAUUUACACAAGUGAAUAGAACAACAAUCAUCUAACAAGCCAAUUUUCAGGACAAUUUUCCCACUGGACCACAACAAAACGAGACUGUGGGGGAACACGUACUGUUUUUGCAGUGAGUGCACUUUACUGCGCAGAAGUUUGAUCAUGAUGGAAAACCAUCAGCCCAUUGCUCAAGGCGACCCGUCACUCCACAGACCAGUGCCAAAUCAAACAGUCCCAGGUCAAAGGUCAAACCCUCGGCCGCUGGGACAUCCCAUGCGCUUCAGCAAAGCAUAAUGAGCUCGUAUGACAGAGUUUGAUGUAAUCCGGGGAAAAGAGCGAAUCCCAGUCCAGAUCUGUCCUCGAUCGGACACCUGUGAGAUCUUCUGCUCCAAAACACACACAUCCAGUCGCCCGCGCACCGCUUUACUGCCAAGACACACAGUUUUAAGCAACAUGGAGGUCUGGAGGUUUGUCCCCCGAGGGCUGGAGGGAUACGUGACUGAGCGCAUGCAGCCGCGGAGACGAGGGGCGUCACUGAGAACCUUAGCACUGACGAGACCUCCAGUUACUGCACACUGGGAUUGAGCAACUUCAAGUGGACAAUAGUUCCUCUGUGGAGGACGAGCGCUCGCUAAACCUUCAGAAAUAUCAUCAGUUUGAUGCCACUGAGACAGCAUUAUCAGUCUCAACUCAUUCAGUUCAUGUUAAAUUGAAGUAAUAUUGUUUGAUUCUACUUUAACAUUUAAAUGUUACUUUUGAAUGUUCUCGGAAUGUUCUGAAACGAGUUAUGACAUUUAAAAAUGGUCAACAAACUAACAGUGCUGGGGAAAUUUACUUUUAAAAGUGAUGCAUUUUGAUAAUGCGUUAUUUUAGCCACUUGAGCUGGGCUUGCUUAUUUAUGUUGAAUAACAACACACCCUAAAGUUCUGUUUUUGGUGACACCAAAGUGAAAUGAAUAAUCUUCCAUCUCUGGACUCACAAUUUCUUUCAACACUGAGACCGGAGAGCUGUGGGUCAAUAAAUGCACUGUAAAAAAUAUUCUGUAAAAUAUACGGUAAAAAAACCCGCAAUUAUCCCAUAAAAACCUGAAUUAUCCCAUAAACAAUAUGAUAACACCGUUUUAGGUUUAACGGUUUUAUACCGUAAAAAAACGGUAACAUAUGGUAAAUUUACAGAUAAAUACCAUAGUUUAACAGAUAUAAUAUUGUUAUACCAACUUUCUGAAGUACUGAAAUCUGUUUUGUACCUUUGUAAUACUCUGGUAUCCACCAAAAGCAGAUGGUGACAAGAAAGUCUCGUAAUGAAACAAAGCCCAUCACAAGCAGUUUUUAAAUAAUAAAAUAUAUAGAAGGUGCACAGUGUCAUUCACACAAGCACUAAACACCAUCAUGGUGAGCCUCAUUAAACUGAAAUAUGCAAUAAACAUUAAUCUAACAACAUUAAAUGUAACAUACAACCCUAAUAAACAUAACAGAUAAGAAAAAAUAAAAAUAAACGGUUAUUUCGAAGAAAAAACAUCAAAUUCAAACAAAACUUGAAAUGCUACAAUUCUGGUAACGUCAGUUAAAUUUUUUUCCCAGGAAAUUUUACAGGAAUUACCGUUAAACGUUUACCAGGUUUGUACUGUAGCAUUUUUACAGUUUUUUUACUGUUAAAAUCACAGUAAUUUUUUUCAGUGUGGGAAAAGAAAGUAAUGUCCAUUAUGUAUUUAAAAAAGUAACUCAGAACAUUCCCUGUUAAUAGUAACUAUUCAUGUUAAAGCAAUAUUGUUUGUAUGGAAUACAUAAUAGUGCGUGACUAUACAUAAUAAAGUUUGACAGACUUCUAUUUCCAACUUAAUAUGAAGAGCUGGGCGAUUAUAUAGUUACAUUGUGCAAAAUAAUAAAAAUAGGCAGUUAAGAUUUACUAGUAUAUAAUUUUAUACGAGUAUACAGCAUGCAUAUGGAUAAAGUUGUAGAUAAUUUCACAGUUAACAAAAAUGUAAUCUAAGAAUGUUUUGCUAACACUCUUAUCAAGUUAUAAAAAUGUUAUUUCUAGAUGUCCUCUGAGCAACACCCAUGUUAAAUGUUUUAGAAAGGUUUUUCUUGGUUGCACAAACAUAUUUUACAUUGCAUAAAUAAAAUGUUUGAGCUUUGAGAACAUUACCAAAAAAAAACAUUCCAUUAAAAUUACUGCAAGAAUGUUUGUUCAUAACUUUUAGAGAUCAUUGCCAGAACGUUCUCUGUUAGCUGGGAUAUUAUCCUACUUAAUAUUUAAAGCUUUGUGAUAAUACAGGCACUAUAUAAACAGGCAAUAUAUACUAUGCUAUAUGUACAGUAACUGUUAUGCAUCUAAAAUUAUUUGCAUCCUUCAGAAGCAAGCAGAAAUAGGUGUGUGUGUGUGAGAGAGACAUUUAAACACAUUCCUCGUCCUGCACUUCAUCAGUUUUAGAGACAGAAGAGAGAACAUGCUAAUAAAUAUGAGCGAUGGAGGAAACCUCCCUCAGAGCCGAGCGUCUCACAUCCAUCUCAAACACAUCUCUGUCUGUCAAACACUGAUCCUCCUCUCGUCUUCCUGGAAGUCAAGUCAACAUCUCUACAAAGAAACACUCCUCUAGCACAGAUUUAUCUGCUGUUAACACUGAGAGCGUCAUUUAUGAUAAAACACAUCAUCUGAAGACUACUAUCAGGCAGAUCUUUCUGUUCUGUUUAGAAGAACUCUUACAGAAUGUUUCCAUACACAAUGUUUGAUGGAGACGUACGUGAAACAAUGUUUUAAGUCGGAAUGUCCUUAUGAUUUUAUUUGUAUGUUCUCAGAAUGGUGUUUGAAUAACGUUUGUCAGUAAUAUCAUUAGAACGUUCUCGUAACAUUUAGAAUGGAAUGUUCCUCUUACAUUGGGAUAACCAAGAAGAUACAUUCUUUACAUAUAACUGUUGAGAGAACAUUCAAAUGUAACAUUCUCAUACGGAAUGUUCCUCGAACGUUCAUACAACCGAGAAGAAACGUUCUUAAUACAUUUGAAAAAUAAUGUUUGGAAGAUACCAAAAGAAAAAGAAAAAUUGGAAUAAUAUUUUCAUAGCUUGAUUGUAAUGUUAGCAAAAUAUUCUUAAAACUGUAUUUUUGUUAGCUAGAGUUCUUGUUAUAUAAUCUAUUACUGAGAAUGCAACUGACUAGCAAUGUUUGCAUGGACAUAAUUAAUAAAUCAGAUUGAUGGAGCAAUCAGACUGAAAAACCUUCAUCGAUCUGAUAGAGCUUGAUUCGAAACCAUUCAGUCAAUAAAAAAAAGCAAGUAAACACUUGAAUCCUACGUUUUUUUUUUUUUUAUAAAAAUACCUUUAUGUGCAUGUUAACAUGCAUGUUUUAUGUCUCUUGUCAUUUCUGAAAUUGGAUUAAAUUCAUUUAAAUGGACAAAUUAUCGUAUUGUAUUAUGAACACAUUUCAGGACUCAACAUAAAAAAGAGCUUAAGCAGCUCAAGAGUUUCUGUUCAUGGAUUUCGCGUUUGAGGCUCUAUCGGGUCACUUGCAAUGGUGACAUUUUGUACAGAGUAAAAACAAAAACAAUAAGCCUUUAUGCAAAUCAUUUUGACGCUGACUAAAUUUGAGUUCUCAGAUUAGACCGCUGGGACUCAAAGACUCAAACUGACAAAACUUUAGCCAUGAAUGCUGCGUGUGGUCUGAAACCGAGACGGAAAGAAGAAACUUCCAGGAGAUUUUCAGUUCCAGUAAAAAUACAGAUGCAAUUCAGAUGGACCAGUUUUGGACUAAAACACUGGUUAAAGAGUGACUAUUUCAAGUACGCAAGGAUUUCAUCUAUAUUAAAACAGCAUGUCAUGAUGCAUUGCAUUCACAUAUUUUGUGAUGCAGACAAACCCCUUUCUAUGCAUAACUUACACUUUGUGACAUGCUGAUUCACAAAAUGCAACUGGCUUCUGUCUUUGUGUGUAUGAAAGUAAGUUUCAUUGCAUUUUAUCAUGAAAUAUUGCAUUUUGUACCAACUGAUGAACAGAAGUUUUUAUUUUUCAGAGCAAGUAUUAAAUGUGUGUACUACAACAAAUAUUUGGGUUAUAUCAUUAACAAUGAAUUGAGUGAUGAUGAUGAUAUAGGCAACAUCGUAUAUGGCAUCAAGCAUCAUUUAGCGCUUGCUUUAGAGCGGAUCCACCGAGCCGAUAAUCCUGUAAAGAUCCGCAUCCCUCCAGGAGUCACGUUCUCCAGCUCCUGCCUCUGCUUUUGAUUUACGAGCAGAGAGAGCAAGAACUUCACAGGACCUCAGACACAUGCUUCUUCUCCACAGCAGUAGACUACAGUUACAUCAUCCUCACUUAAGUGUUUGAAAUCAUAUCAGUCUGCUUUAGCUCACGAUAACUUCACCGAUAACUUACCGUCACAGACGGGAGGCUUCCUGUUUCGCCAUGUUUCCAGGAGCAUGUUUGUUAAAAAUGAGAUGAAUUACUCUCUUUAAGUGCAUUUCAUCAUAUUAACCUUAAGAUGCUUUGACAGAUUAAAAUCUUAAAGUAUAAACAGUUGAGCAUCUUCACUGGGAAAAUCAUCUCGCAGAUUCUCAGUGUCAAAGUGCACUCAACGAUUUAAAACUGGACUUUACAAAUAAAAUGGGCUGUUUUACCCAA